GACGAACGCUGGCGGCGUGCUUAACACAUGCAAGUCGAACGAAGAGCGAUGGAAGCUUGCUUCUAUCAAUCUUAGUGGCGAACGGGUGAGUAACGCGUAAUCAACCUGCCCUUCAGAGGGGGACAACAGUUGGAAACGACUGCUAAUACCGCAUACGAUCUAACCUCGGCAUCGAGGAUAGAUGAAAGGUGGCCUCUACAUGUAAGCUAUCACUGAAGGAGGGGAUUGCGUCUGAUUAGCUAGUUGGAGGGGUAACGGCCCACCAAGGCGAUGAUCAGUAGCCGGUCUGAGAGGAUGAACGGCCACAUUGGGACUGAGACACGGCCCAGACUCCUACGGGAGGCAGCAGUGGGGAAUCUUCCGCAAUGGACGAAAGUCUGACGGAGCAACGCCGCGUGAAUGAUGACGGCCUUCGGGUUGUAAAGCUCUGUUAAUCGGGACGAAAGGCCUUCUUGCGAAUAGUUAGAAGGAUUGACGGUACCGGAAUAGAAAGCCACGGCUAACUACGUG
rnacentral:rRNA from 1 species